GAAAAGACCAGCUAUCAAGUCUAUUAUACAUCAGAGAUCACCUGCUAUUGUAGCAAUACUGCCCUCACCUAAAGAAGAAGCUCACUGGUUGUUCAAGACACGCAACUUACUGGGUAAAAUGGAUAAUGAGAAAGACAAAGAUAACAGUGAAGACGAUGAUGAUCCAAAUAAAACAAUCUUUGUCAUUGACAAAAGAAAUUUU